rnacentral:tRNA from 1 species
GGGGAUGUGGCUCAGUAGUAGAGCACUUGCCUAGCAUGCAUGAGGCCCUGGGUUCCAUCCCCA